GACACUAUUUCAUGUCUAGCAAAGACUUCAUACUGGACAGAUUCCUCAUGAAUGUUGCAAGACACAGACUCAGAAGAAUACAAUUGCUUGAAUAUAUCUAUAAGUAAAGCCUCAAAGAAAAAUGCAAAUUGGACACAGGCCCUACAAAAAUUCCCAGAAGAAUACAAUUGCUUGAAUAUAUCUAUAAGUAAAGCCUCAAAGAAAAAUGCAAAUUGGACACAGGACCUACAAAAAUUCCCAGAAGAGGCAAAGAAAAAAAUCUGAACUGGUCUGAAUUGUUUCAAAGAGGAAAGACUAUAUAUUUACAUACUCAAUUACAAAUAGAAUUUGAACUUAACUAACAGAAUGGGCAAAGAAAGAGGGAGGGGCAAUAAGAGGAAGGGAACAUUAAAGGGGAACAGUGGUCAGAAGCAAAACUGACUUGAGAAUGGGACAAGGACAUAAUAAUCAUAACUGAAUGUGAAUGGGAUAAAUCCACUCAUCAGACAACUGAUUACAGAAUAAAUUAGAAACCAGAGUCUAAAAAGAUGAUGUUCUCAAGAGACACAAGAUACGUAAAGUUAAAAAGAUUAUAGUAGAAUCUGUUAUGUUUGAGCUAAAGGGGGAAAUGGUUCAGAGCUUCCAAUUGUGAUUUCAGACAAAGCAAAAGUAAAAACAGUCCUGAUUAA